AUCCUAAAAUCUGGGGAGAAAUCUCAAAAUUUAGGGGGAGAAAUCCCAAAAUUGAGGGAGGAAAAUCCUGAAAUUGGAUGGGGAAUCCCCAAAAAAUCGGGAGAGGGACCCCAAAAUCGAUGUGGGAGCCCCAAAAUUGGAGGAGACCCCAAAAUCCCGGGAUUUUAUUGGGGUUCCCCCCGGGGAGGGGGGCAGGAUGCAGACCCCGGGUUUGGGGUUUUCCCCCGGAUUUUGGGGUGUCGCCCCGGAUUUUGGGGUCUCCCCCCGGAUUUUGGGGUGUCGCCCCGGAUUUUGGGGUCCCCCCCUGAUUUUGGGGUCCCCCCAGGUGCCUUCAAGUCCCUGGACCGGGACGGGUCGGGGCAGAUCCGCGUCAGCCUCCAGGAGUGGCUGCAGCUCACCAUGUACUCCUGAGGGGACCCCCAGGACCUUCCAGAACCUUCCAGGACACCCCAAAAUCCUCCCAGACACUCCAGGACACCCCAAAACCUCCUUGGACCCUCCAACUGCACCCCCAGCCUCCCCAGUCUGCACCCCCUCCCCAAAUAAAAACCCCCCAACCUUG